CCUACGGGUGGCUGCAGUGAGGACUAUUGGUCAAUGGGCGUAAGCCUGAACCAGCCAAGUCGCGUGAGGGAUGAAGGUCCUAUGGAUCGUAAACCUCUUUUGUAGGGGAAUAAAGUCCGGGACGUGUCCCGUUUUGUAUGUACCUUAUGAAUAAGGAUAGGCUAACUCCGUGCCCGCAGCCGCGGUAAUACGGAGGAUCCGAGCGUUAUCCGGAUUUAUUGGGUUUAAAGGGUGCGUAGGCGGCCUUUUAAGUUAGCGGUGAAAGUCUGUGGCUCAAACCUAGAAUUGCCGUUGAAACUGGGAGGCUUGAGUGUGUUUGAGGCAGGCGGAAUGCGUGGUGUAGCGGUGAAAUGCUUAGAUAUCACGCAGAACCCCGAUUGCGAAGGCAGCCUGCCAAGCCAUGACUGACGCUGAUGCACGAAAGCGUGGGUAUCGAACAGGAUUAGAGACCCGGGUAGUC
rnacentral:rRNA from 1 species